rnacentral:rRNA from 1 species
UACGUAGGGUGCAAGCGUUAAUCGGAAUUACUGGGCGUAAAGCGUGCGCAGGCGGUUUUGUAAGUCUGUCGUGAAAGCCCCGGGCUCAACCUGGGAAUGGCGAUGGAUACUGGCUCGCUAGAGUGCGGUAGAGGAGAGUGGAAUUCCCGGUGUAGCAGUGAAAUGCGUAGAGAUCGGGAGGAACAUCAGUUGCGAAGGCGGCUCUCUGGACCAGCACUGACACUGAGGCACGAAAGCGUGGGGAGCGAACAGG